UUGGGCCUACGGGACGCAGCAGUGAGGAAUAUUGGUCAAUGGCCGGAAGGCUGAACCAGCCAAGUAGCGUGAAGGAUGACUGCUCUAUGGGUUGUAACCUUCUUUUAUAUGGGAAUAAAAUGUUCCACGUGUGGGAUUUUGUAUGUACCAUAUGAAUAAGGAUCGGCUAACUCCGUGCCAGCAGCCGCGGUAAUACGGAGGAUCCGAGCGUUAUCCGGAUUUAUUGGGUUUAAAGGGAGCGUAGGUGGAUUGUUAA
rnacentral:rRNA from 1 species